GAGAACGCAGAGGGAGCAGCAUCCUGGGGCUUACGGGGUGGACGGAAGAUGGUGGCGGUGACCGUGGCUCCCUUGAGUCCCCUGUUCCCCCGGACACCCCUCGGCUAGUAGGAGAGGGUCGCUGAUCCGGCUUGGGGCGCGGAGGGCUUCCCAGAGGCGCGGUGAACCCACACGGCUCUUCACGGACAAAGUAAGCUGGCAGCACCCGCCCGCGGAUACCAGAAUCUUUAUGAGGGUAAAAGAAAAAGACCAGAAUGCUCGGAGAGAAACACUGAGAAGUUUGGAGAGAGCUUAGACAGAAAAUGUCCCCAGAGGAGCUGAGAGAGCCUUGAAACCAGAACCCAGGGGAGAAGGACCAGCAGACAUUGCCAUGUGCUUCCCAUGUGACAGUGGUGUACUGGAUGUCAGCAGCCUUUCUCCAGAGUCCAGGCAUAAAGGAAACAUUUGCUGGUUCACAGGCAGCUGCAUACUGCCAUUUAUACUCUGGAGAGAAAACAGUGCACCAGAGAGACUAUAAUGAGUACUGUGAGUAAUAAAAUGCCCAAAUGUCUCUUUGAAUAUGCUUCUAAGCUCAGGUCCCAUGUUUUAAUCCAGCUGAAAUCAAAGUGAUUUAAAAAUGGUCCUGAGGCCACAGUAUCCAUGCCCUUACCAAAAGGAGUCCUGAAAUACCUAGGUCCCUACCUUAGAGUCUAUAAAAGAUUCACUCACUAAGUUUUAUCUCUCAGAAACUUAAAUCCACCAGGGCGUUCCUAUGCCAGACA